rnacentral:rRNA from 1 species
AGAGUUUGAUCCUGGCUCAGGACGAACGCUGGCGGCGUGCUUAACACAUGCAAGUCGAGCGGUAAGGCCCUUCGGGGUACACGAGCGGCGAACGGGUGAGUAACACGUGGGUGACCUGCCUUUAGCUCUGGGAUAAGCCUGGGAAACUGGGUCUAAUACCGGAUAUGACUCCAUGAUGCAUGUUGUGGGGUGGAAAGCCU